rnacentral:lncRNA from 1 species
UGUCCCGUAGAGGCGAGUCCUUUUGUGACUGAUCCACGUAUUUUGAUUGUUUUGUUUUGUUUCUUCUUUCUUCCUGCUGUAUCGUGUGGUACUGAAAAGAUCUUGGGAGGUGGUGUUCUAGCUAGACAUCCAUCCAACAUUGUAGGUGAAGGAUCAAAAGUCUUUUGGCUGGUUACCUGAAAAAUUAAACUAUGAGUAGACAAGUCCUAGUAGUGGUCGUCAAUCAGAGGAAAAUAAAGAACUGAUAUUAGAAAAAUGAAAAUGAG